GCGAAAUACCUCGUCACUUAAUUAGUGACCUGCAUGAACGGAGCUAUGAGGUUCUCACUGUCCCAAACUGUCUCUCAGCGAACCAACUGUAGUGGGAACGGUCACUAGAUAUCCAGCGGGGAAAGAAGACCCCUGUAGAGCUUCACUUUGGUCUAGUCUUGUAUAGUUCCUGCGGGGGUGUAGACUAGGUGGGAGAGCAAUCGAUUCUGAAAAACCACUACCCUGUUUGGAAUUAUGCUUACCUAUCACAAGGAAUAGGACUAGAUAGAAAGUUUGGCUGGGGCGGCACACCUUCGAAAGAGCAGCGAAGGUGUCCUAAGUUGAGCUCAGUGAGGACAGAAAUCUCACGUUGAGGAUAAGGCCAAAAGCUCAAUUUACUGUGCCUUUUUGUACUAGGAUCAGUUACGAAAGUAAGGCCUAACGAUCCCUAAAUAGCCUCAGGUGCGUGAGGAUUGGGGUGACAGACAAGUUACCUCCGGGACAACUGGCUUGUGGCUGCUAAGAGAUCAAAUCAACGCAGCUUUUUGAUUCUUCGAUGUCGGCUCUUCCUAUCCUAGUGAUGUACAAGUUGCUAAGGGUCGGAUUGUUCACCCGUAUUAGGGAUCGUGAGCUGGGUUUAGACCGUCGUGAGCCAGGUUUGUUUUAUCCUACUGGAUAUAGCAUCAUGAUAGUAGAUUGAUUUAGUACGAGAGGAACUGUUGAUUAUGGCCUCUGGUUAGCGAUUAUCGGAAACGGUAUGUCGCGCAGCUACGCCGUCUGGGAUAAUGGCUGAAAGCCUCUUAAGCCAGAAGCCCAUCUAGAAAGUGAUGCACGUGAUGUUGGACCGAUACGAAUAAUCAUACUCAAAAGG
rnacentral:ncRNA from 1 species